rnacentral:rRNA from 1 species
AUGAACGCUGGCGGCGUGCCUAAUCCCUGCAAGUCGCGCGCACGGACGAGAACCUUGCUUCUCUGAUGUUAGCGGCGGACGGGUGAGUAACACGUGGAUAACCUACCUAUAAGACUGGGAUAACUUCGGGAAACCGGAGCUAAUACCGGAUAAUAUUUUGAACCGCAUGGUUCAAAAGUGAAAGACGGUCUUGCUGUCACUUAUAGAUGGAUCCGCGCUGCAUUAGCUAGUUGGUAAGGUAACGGCUUACCAAGGCAACGAUGCAUAGCCGACCUGAGAGGGUGAUCGGCCACACUGGAACUGAGACACGGUCCAGACUCCUACGGGAGGCAGCAGUAGGGAAUCUUCCGCAAUGGGCGAAAGCCUGACGGAGCAACGCCGCGUGAGUGAUGAAGGUCUUCGGAUCGUAAAACUCUGUUAUUAGGGAAGAACAUAUGUGUAAGUAACUGUGCACAUCUUGACGGUACCUAAUCAGAAAGCCACGGCUAACUACGUG